AAUACGUUCCCGGACCUUGCACACACCGCCCGUCAAGCCAUGGAAGCUGGGUGUACUAAAGUCGGUAACCGCAAGGAGCUGCCUAGGGUAAAACUAGUAACUGGGGCUAAGUCGUAACAAGGUACCC
rnacentral:rRNA from 1 species